GCAGGCUAGCUUGGCUAAUAGUAUCUAUGAUUUAGCUACUCUAGAGCCCUCCAAAGAUAUCAGGUGUGCCUUAUCCAUUAGCACAGCGAGGCACAGGGCUGAACAGGUGAAGGGAGUACACAGCUGUGGUCUGACCUGCUCAAUAUCCCUUCUUCCUGAAACAGAACCUAUCUUUUCUUCUUGGGGAGCCACCCCUCCCCUACUCUUAGCCCUUGGCUUAGGUUCCUCUUUUAAGACUCAGUUCUACCAGGAGGUAACUCCUGGUAAAUUCUCAAACCCCGGGACACAAUUUGAACCAAUGAGAUGCAAUUCAAUAUCUGGAGCCUCUGGGCCAGAGCUGCUCUCUUGCUAGAGAACUUUGAGUUUGUAUAUCUGCAAUUAUUGGGGUUUUGUCUUCUCUCCAAGAAAGCCUCAGUGAGGAUGAAGACAACAGGAUAAAGCAGAACCAAGAGAGGGAGAGACACCAUUUGAGCUCUCCUGACACCAUUUGAGCUCCUCCUUCCCCAGUCAGGCCCGGCCGUUGUCUGAAAGCAAACCUCAAGGACAGGACUUUUUGGACUCCGCAGGCACUCCAGGCUACUGCUCCACCACAUGAAGUCCAGCAGGUGGCGGUGCACCUCGCGCGGACCCGGCUUGCCUGUCUUGGCCCCAGGGAGUCGGUUUGAUGCGCAGUCGGGAAGUGGGUCUGCACGCACCUCGCUGCAGCUGUGGCAAACGCAAGCGAUGACACACAGGCUUGACGAGGGCCUUUGUGAGAAGCAAUGGGGAUCUGGCGUCACCGCACAAUGGAAAACAAAGUGCUUCUGCCUGGCUGGCCAGAAUGCACGUUUGCUCACUAUUGAUGCCGGGGCAUUUACAGGCAGAAUGAGUUCAUGUGAAAUUUCAGGGUCUGCCAUGACUCAGAUUCACUUUCUGUAAACCAGAGUCAACAUUACAUUUCCCUUUACUCUGAGCCAUUUCUUGAAUUUUUAGGUCACCAGUUGUUUUUGUGCUAACCGAAGGGAUUUGAGUAUUUCUUAUGCACCUUAUUUUUAUUAUUAUUUUUAGGGCAUUACCAAUUUGGGACGGAUCUGUAGUGUGAGAGAUGGUUGUCACUCUUAGCUCCAAACAUAGAUUGGCUUUAUAUAUUAUUUACAUGUUCAGAAUUAUAUUGUGUAGAAAUUCAAGUGAAACUUGCAAAAUACUUUUCUGGCAGGAAGCCCUGGAGAGGAUGGUUCACGGAAACAAGGAUGACGAGUGUGGUAAGAAAUGCAGGUGACUCGUGAGUGGGCAGGCAGUGGAAGAGAAGAUGGCUGGAAGGUUUUAGCAUUCAGAAAAAAAUGGAGACAAUUAGAGUUGAUCUGAAGAUUAUGGCAGAAUUCAAUAUUGGGGCAAAGAAACAAGAUGGGGGUUAGAAAUUAGAAACAGCAGAGUUCCGCAGGUUGGAAAGGAUUUGAGCAAGAGAACAAAAAGGAGCCUGCUAAUAGCACCCUGGGUUUACAGCAAGAGAAGCACCUGGAGAGAAUUAACUCGGGAGGAGGUGGGGGCAUGGGAAACCUUUUCAUCUCCAAGAGUGGGCAGGAAUAGCAGCUGGCCUGAACUUGAAGGUACACCAGGUAGCUUGCCUGGGCCAGGAGAAGGUGAUUCUCUUCUAUACCUCUCUCCAACGCCCUGCUUCUGAUGCUGCUCCUCUACCCAUAUUGAGGGGAAGAUAUAUCCCUAAGAAGUUCCCUGCACCCCAUUCCUUGUGCUGGCUAACUGGUCCCCUAGGAAUUUUUCUCCUAAUUUUCAAUUCCCCUUCUCACCUGGUGAAAUCUUAAAUCUUACUGUUCAAUAAAAGUUCUUCUACC